UGGGACGUCCCAGAAUUAAAUUUGGAAAGAAAACCGCAAAUUUAAGGUUUGGAGAAACAUCUUGAUGGACCUCAGCGGGGAAUUGAGGAUGGAAAUUUUGGGUUUGGGACGUCCCAGAAUUAAAUUUGAGGAGGAAAAUGGCAAUUUGAGGUGAGGAGGAACAUCUUGAUGGACCUCAACAUGGAAUUAAAGAUGGUGAAUUUGGGUUUUCAACGUCCCAGAAUUCAUUUUGAGGAG